rnacentral:lncRNA from 2 species
UGUCUUGUGGUAGAGGAGAUUUUGCCUUGCAAUUUUACAUACUUAUGCUACGUGGAAGGCUGGGUGGCGUGACUUCAGGUUUUGCAAAAGUCUCAUGAAUCAUCCCUUCCUGUGGUCCUGCUCCCUGAGAUCCUUUCACCGCUCACAGUGGGCUACUUCUAAGAGCGUGCCUGGCACAGGGUCACUGAGAGCAUAGUCUUAAUAAAACAAUGAUGGAUGC